GACGAACGCUGGCGGCAUGCCUAACACAUGCAAGUCGAACGGCAGCACGGGAGCAAUCCUGGUGGCGAGUGGCGAACGGGUGAGUAAUAUAUCGGAACGUGCCCAGUCGUGGGGAUAACGUAGCGAAAGCUACGCUAAUACCGCAUACGAUCUAUGGAUGAAAGCGGGGGAUCGCAAGACCUCGCGCGAUUGGAGCGGCCGAUAUCAGAUUAGGUAGUUGGUGAGGUAAAGGCUCACCAAGCCGACGAUCUGUAGCUGGUCUGAGAGGACGACCAGCCACACUGGGACUGAGACACGGCCCAGACUCCUACGGAGGCAGCAGUGGGAAUUUUGGACAAUGGGCGCAAGCCCUGAUCCAGCAAUGCCGNGUGCAGGAUGAAGGCCUU
rnacentral:rRNA from 1 species